CUGGCCACUCAGGGACCCCAGUGGCCUCUGCCUACCUAAGGCAUCACCGGGCAACAGCAACAAGCCUCCCUCAAUGCCUGCUUUGUGUGGCCCAGAUAAUGAUUUACUAACUGCAGGAAUCGGGAGGUGUGAAAGAAGAUGGCUUUCUUAACCCCCAUUGUCUCCUUGCUGGAAUGUCCCUUGGCCCGCCCCGCUGCACCUGUGCACACGGUACAGGAUGGCCCAGGUGAGCAGGAUCCAGGUCCAGGCACUGAGGUACAGGACCAGCCUGACACCCCAGCCUUCAGAGUGUUCUGGACAUCCCUGAACAGCCCCUGCCCAGCC
rnacentral:lncRNA from 1 species